GGUUGUCUUGUUUGGUAGGUAGUUUCCCGUUUGGUCACAGCGGCGGGAAUAGGGCCUGGGUUAAAGAGGAUUUAGGUGGAAUAGGAAGUGGGCAGGCCAAGGUCUAGGCUGGACUAUGCCGGAGUGGAAAAUGGUUUCUAGGUUCUAGCUCGUUGGUGGCUACGAAUCUGGGGGUGUAGGGGUGUCUGGGUACACCCCUACAGUUAAACAUAUGGUUAUGGGGCCUCUUUGGUAGGCCAUGGGUUAAACGUUAUGUAUUAUUGGAAUGUUUUAUUAUGUUAUUUGGUAGGGUCAUUGUCGGGGGUAUUGGGCAAGAAGG